rnacentral:rRNA from 1 species
CAGCAGCCGCGGUAAUACGGAGGGUGCAAGCGUUAAUCGGAAUUACUGGGCGUAAAGCGCACGCAGGCGGUUUGUUAAGUCAGAUGUGAAAUCCCCGGGCUCAACCUGGGAACUGCAUUUGAAACUGGCAAGCUAGAGUCUCGUAGAGGGGGGUAGAAUUCCAGGUGUAGCGGUGAAAUGCGUAGAGAUCUGGAGGAAUACCGGUGGCGAAGGCGGCCCCCUGGACGAAGACUGACGCUCAGGUGCGAAAGCGUGGGGAGCAAACAGGAUUAGAUACCCCUGUAGUCCCUGUCUCUUAUAC